AACUUUUUGGUGUUAUGUGCAUUUUAACCAAUUAAAUAUAAUUUGCUUGAACGGUGAAACAUCGUGAGAAACUUGCAUGCCUGAGAGUUCUCUAAAAUAAUCUCAAA